rnacentral:rRNA from 1 species
ACGAACGCUGGCGGCGUGCUUAACACAUGCAAGUCGAACGGAAAGGCCCUUCGGGGUACUCGAGUGGCGAACGGGUGAGUAACACGUGGGUGAUCUGCCCUGCACUUUGGGAUAAGCCUGGGAAACUGGGUCUGAUACCGAAUAGGACCACGCGCUUCAUGGUGUGUGGUGGAAAGCUUUUGCGGUGUGGGAUGGGCCCGCGGCCUAUCAGCUUGUUGGUGGGGUAAUGGCCUACCAAGGCGACGACGGGUAGCCGGCCUGAGAGGGUGACCGGCCACACUGGGACUGAGAUACGGCCCAGACUCCUACGGGAGGCAGCAGUGGGGAAUAUUGCACAAUGGGCGCAAGCCUGAUGCAGCGACGCCGCGUGAGGGAUGACGGCCUUCGGGUUGUAAACCUCUUUCAAUAGGGACGAAGCGCAAGUGACGGUACCUAUAGAAGAAGCACCGGCCAACUACGUG